GGAUCUGAUGGAUCCUCUGGUGGGACACUCUAUGUAACCUGCCCUACGCCUGGAACCAACACAGCCUCUGAGUCCUUUCGGCUUCCAUUUGUACCCCAAGGAAUCAGUACACCUUGUGGUCCUGCUGCUCAUGUACACUGGGCACAGCCUAGACACAGAAGCUACUCUGGAUCUGGAACCGACACAAU